AUUGCCGAUAGUGAAGGAGGAACCUAACGUCACCGGGGCCCGAGUUAGUUAUAUAUAUUAUAUUGUGUUUUGGGUUGUUAAACUCUAAUUUAUUUCGAAGUUGAGUUUGGUGGUGAGCUAGCAUAAUGCUAGUUAUCUUACUAUCUUUUUUCCGGCUGCGUAUUUCUGAUAUUGCUUAUUAUUAUUCGUUGAAUUGGGUUGAAUUGUUGUUAGGUGAACCUCUCGCUUUAGAUUGUUUUGGGUGGGAUAGCGAGGGGUUGUAUUUGUUAGUUGGGGAUUAUAACUCGCUGAGUAAUGCUAGAUUACUCACUCCUCACUCGUUAUUGUUUCAG
rnacentral:lncRNA from 1 species